rnacentral:SRP_RNA from 1 species
GCCGGGCGCAGUGGCGCGCGCCUGUAGUCCCAGCUACUCGGGAGGCUGAGGCAGGAGGAUCGCUUGAGCCCAGGAGUUCUGGGCUGUAGUGCGGUAUGCCUUUCGGGUGUCCGCACUAAGUUCGGCAUCAAUAUGGUGACCUCCCGGGAGCGGGGGACCACCAGGUUGCCUAAGGAGGGGUGAACCGGCCCAGGUCGGAAACAGAGCAGGUCAAAACUCCCAUGCUGAUCAGUGUAGGUUCAUAGCUUGUAAUAAAUGUACCACUCUGACAAUGGUACUAGAGGGUACACUGGAAAUCUCU